UGCAGGAGAAAUUAAGAAAUUCGAAGCAAACAAGUUAUUUCACACACUGGUGGAUCCAAAGCUAAUCCUAGAAGAAGAAAUGAGUUGUUGUUAGAAACUGGGAAGCUAGCAAGUUGUGGACAAUUAUAUAUUGAAACUCAUAAAAGGAAAGAUGGAUCAUUUGUAAAUGAAGCAGCAAAGACUAUAACGGAACAAAUUGAAGUAGGAUUGACUCAAAGCAUAGUUGAUGAAUCUGAAGUUUCUCCUCUUGAUGCUGUUGGUAUCCUAAAACUUCCAAAUGAUGCUUCAAGUGUUCCUAAUACACCUUUGGAUGCAAGAGGAUUUUCUGGUGCUAGCAACCCUUAGUUUGCUUAUAAUGUAUUUUGGAUUUAAAGUUUAGUACAAGACUAAUAUUACUUUGUUAUGGAUUUUAUGUCAUACUUUGAUUUACAAUAGAAAUUUGAAUUAUAAAUCUUUGAACUAUAUGUUAUUAUUUUGGUUAUUGAAAUAUAAU